rnacentral:rRNA from 1 species
UACGUAGGGGGCGAGCGUUGUCCGGAUUUAUUGGGCGUAAAGAGCGUGUAGGCGGCCAGGUAGGUCUGCUGUGAAAACUCGAGGCUCAACCUCGAGACGUCGGCGGAAACCAUCUGGCUAGAGUCCGGAAGAGGAGAGUGGAAUUCCUGGUGUAGCGGUGAAAUGCGCAGAUAUCAGGAAGAACACCCAUGGCGAAGGCAGCUCUCUGGGCCGGUACUGACGCUGAGACGCGAAAGCGUGGGGAGCAAACAGG